UUAAUUCUCUCUUGAUAUUUUUGUAAAUUUCCUUUGAAAUGUUUAUCUCUUCCUCUUCUUCUCUCUCUCUGUUUCUCUGCAACUACUAUGUACAGUUGGGAAAUGACGAACACAACAAAUAGGAACACCCAUUAGAUCAAUGACAAGAGAAGGCUUACGACGGUGGCCACAACCACCACCACCGCCGAGUUCAUAACGGCGCUCAAUAAUUUCGACAUGCAGACCUCCACCAGGCAUGUUCUAACUCUGUUUUGGUGGAUUUGGGUUACAAAAUUCUCUCAUACCUUUAAAGGUCGAUUUUUUUGAAUUGUAAAACAUAUUUACAGUAACUGAUUCUCUUGUUUUAUUUCAAUUAUUGGUAAAGAUUUCAAAUUUUGGUUUUAAGGGGUUCAUUUAUUUGUUUUGUUAGUUUGCUUUGCUAUCAUCCGACUAACUUUGUAAUUAAUUGGGUUGUUUAAUGUACUGUAUAUAAACACUGACUUAUUUAUCAGUGUGUAGUUGUAUUCACAGCCAAAUUAUAAGCUAACUACAUCACAUCUUAUCAAA